UCUCUGUUUGUCACUCAUUUGCUUAUACUCACUCAAAGUACCAAUUUGUACUGAUGAGUCUAGUGUAUUUUUUUCCCUCUUUCUCUCUGUCUCACACACACAGACCAACACACAGACAUGUAUAUGCUCAUUAUUGCUCUUCAAACUGAUGGUCAAAUUUCCAAGCACCACCUGAACGCCUCAUUUGUUUUUAACCCAUCACGGGACCAACUGUCGUCAUUCCGCUUUGCUCUCUGCUGUGGAACCUGACUGACAUCUGUGCUUUGACUGUGUGCAGAAGAAGAACAAGGACGAGAUCUCCAGUCUUCUGUCUCACAUCCCAACCCCCCAUCCCCUCUAUCCUCUGUCCUGCUCCACCUGUUGUCUCUGCCUUCUUUCCAUCUGUAUUUCACCCUGUGGUUUGUGAGAAAUUUUGCCAAACCAAGAAUCUUAUUGCGGUUUGAUUUCAAAGCCGUGUCUCUCCUGCUCUGUCUGUUCUCUCUGCUAAAUUUUCUCUCUACCUGUUUUUCACUCUUUGGUUUGCUGCUGAAAAAUGCACAAGCCAAUAAAGCAAUAAAGAGUGCAUAUUUUGCCUCAACCUAUGAACAAACUGAACAAACAAAGAAAACUCUAAUUCACGGUUAAUUGGGAUUUCCCAGCCGUGUCUUUCCUGCUCUGUCUGUUCUCUCUUCUAAAUUUUCUCUCUACCUGUUUUUCACUCUUGGCUUGCUGCUGAAAAAUGCCAAGCCAUUAAAGCAAUAAAGAGUGCAU